ensembl:lncRNA
GAAAAAAGUAAUAUCCAAGGAUAAUACACUCAAAGAACAAUUCAGACUUGUUAACUUGUGUAUCCGAAUCCACUAUUUUCCCCGUGUCUUUGGCUUUAUUAUUUGUUUUCAGAUGGCAAGCAUCCUAUAGCAUACUGCGGUUGAAGUAUCUGCUCAGUCGUCCUAUAGCAUACUGCGGUUGAAGUAUCUGCUCAGUCGUCCUAUAGCAUACUGCGGUUGAAGUAGCUGCUCAGUCGUCCUAUAGCAUACUGCGGUUGAAGUAGCUGCUCAGUCAUCUACAUGCAUUCUCCAGCCAAAGCGAAGACAGACAAACUAGUCAAUUGAAUUAUUUAGAGCACCGGGCACAAUCCUGAGAAGGAGGACAAAGCUGAUUCUUCAAAGUAGCCACCCUUUGCCUUGAUGACAUCUUUGCACACUCUUGGCAUUCUCUCAACCAG